rnacentral:rRNA from 1 species
AUUGAACGCUGGCGGCAGGCCUAACACAUGCAAGUCGAACGGUAACAGGAAACAGCUUGCUGUUUCGCUGACGAGUGGCGGACGGGUGAGUAAUGUCUGGGAAACUGCCUGAUGGAGGGGGAUAACUACUGGAAACGGUAGCUAAUACCGCAUAACGUCGCAAGACCAAAGAGGGGGACCUUCGGGCCUCUUGCCAUCGGAUGUGCCCAGAUGGGAUUAGCUAGUCGGUGUGGUAACGGCUCACCUAGGCGACGAUCCCUAGCUGGUCUGAGAGGAUGACCAGCCACACUGGAACUGAGACACGGUCCAGACUCCUACGGGAGGCAGCAGUGGGGAAUAUUGCACAAUGGGCGCAAGCCUGAUGCAGCCAUGCCGCGUGUAUGAAGAAGGCCUUCGGGUUGUAAAGUACUUUCAGCGGGGAGGAAGGGAGUAAAGUUAAUACCUUUACUCAUUGACGUUACCCGAAGAAGAAGCACCGGCUAACUCCGUG